AUAAAUAAACUGAAAAUUCAAAAAUAAAUAAACUUGAAAUUCAGAAAAUAAAUAAAUAAAUAAACUGAAAAUUCAGAAAAUAAAUAUAUAAAUAAAAUGGAAAAUAAAUAAACUGGAAAUAAAUAAAUAAAUAAAUAAAUAAACUGAAAAUUCAGAAAAUAAAUAAAUAAACUGGAAAUAAAUAAACUAAAAAUUCAAAAAUAAAUAAAUAAAUAAACUUGAAAUUCAGAAAAUAAAUAAAUAUAUAAACUGAAAAUUAAGAAAAUAAAUAAAUAAACUGAAAAUUAAGAAAAUAAAUAAAUAAAUGGGAUUGAUUAGGCGUGGGGGAGUUGGUUUCGUAGUUUUAAUUAGUGAGUUAAUUGUGUGGGUUAAUUGCAUAGAUUAAAUAAAAGUGUGGAUUUAUUAAUGACAUAAGUUGUAAAUAAAUUGAAAAGUA
rnacentral:lncRNA from 1 species